rnacentral:rRNA from 1 species
CAGUAGCCGCGGUAAAACGUAGGGUGCAAGCGUUAAUCGGAAUUACUGGGCGUAAAGCGUGCGCAGGCGGUUAUGCAAGACAGAUGUGAAAUCCCCGGGCUCAACCUGGGAACUGCAUUUGAGACUGCAAGGCUAGAAUCUGGCAGAGGGGGGUAGAAUUCCACGUGUAGCAGUGAAAUGCGUAGAUAUGUGGAGGAAUACCGAUGGCGAAGGCAGCCCCCUGGGCCAAUACUGACGCUCAUGCACGAAAGCGUGGGGAGCAAACAGGAUUAGAUACCCCAGUAGUCCCUGUCUCUUAUAC